GAGUUAUGGACUACCAACAAAUUUAUUGCAAAAAAAGGAAUAUCAUUUCCCCAUCAAUACCAAAGUUAUCUUAAAAACUGGUUCAACAAGUCAUUGCACUAACAAUACAUUAAUUAAUUACACAACUUAAAUAUAAUACAUAUUAAAAGAGUUAUCAUUAUUUGCGGGACGUAUGUUACAAGAACACUUGGUUGUUGUCUUCGCUGAAAUUCUUGCUCAAGCAACUGAAAUUUAAGAGAUAUGCAUUCGAUUUGAUGGCCCAACUUGCGGACUUCUGCUAACAACAUGUCAAUUUUAUUCUGAUUUAUAAUACGAUCUUCCAUCCCUCUAAAAUCAUUACAUUCACUGCUCUUCCAAUCAUCAUCCCAUUCAAAAGCCCCACAUCCUUUGCACUUCUAAAACCUACGAUUCGGAUUUUCUUUUGUUCGUGAAGUUCGCAAGACCUUAUUGUUGUUGCAGCAUUUAUCACAAGCUUUCAGUUGUGUUUGAAUUUCGUUUGUGCUUGAAGACAUAAUGAUUGAACAAAUUCUGUUCAAUAUACACUUCAACCCAGAUUCUUUCCAGAAAGAAAAAAUGGUAGCCAAUAUAUUAAAAACCAGCUUAUUGAUUUUUUUUCUCCCCCCCAAAAAAAGAAAUACAUCUUACUGCAUUCAUUCAGCUCAAAUAAAAUUAUUUAAUUUCAACUACAAAGAAAACAAAAAGAAGAAAAAUAUGGUCAAAUGAGAAGAAGGGGCAUGGCUCUGUUCUUAGAAAUGAAAGUGAAUUGAUGGAGUUGACUAGUUGGGGGUUAGUGUAAGUAACUUUAGACCAUCAGCACUUGCAGGAUUAGUGUAAGUAAUUAAAAUAUGAUGUUAUUUUUUAUUAUCUUUUGUAACUUAAAAAUAACUACGGGAUAGUAACAUAAUGGCUAAAGAUCUUAAUGUUUCAAAACCUUAGUUGCACUAUUACAACUCCAUAAUUAACUUUUUAUUUUUCCUACCUGAUUUAACAUAUAUAUUUGUUUUCCAGAGAAGUAUUAAAAUAUGGUGACUUGAUAAACUCAAAUAUCAUGGGUAGAAUGUUACUCUACGGCUUUUAACUCAAGUGGGUUGAGUCAUGCUGGAGGUCAACCAAAACCCAAAAUGUGGAAUGAAGAAUACUCAGCUCCAAACACACAGCUGACAUAUGCUUCAGCAGACUCUCGCACUAACUUAAUGCGUGCAUAGCUUUUUAACAUAAAUUCACUUCAGGAAUAGCUAAAGCUAUAAUACUUUUAACCUUGAUUCAGGACAUAAAACCCCAAGCUUAAACAGAUUGGUUUCAACUUGCAUGACUAACUUCAACACGUGGAGAAAAAAUUUCUAAUAUGGUAAAAUUAGAGAUUGGAAGUGUUUUUGUCUGUGCUUACUGUAAGUGAAUUACCUGGGGGUUUUAAAGGGCUGAAAGAAAUUUUUCUUUAGUUCAAAGCUUUGAGUAUGCAUACUUAAUAAUCUAGCAAUUAUUACUUACCAGUAUAUCAAUACAAUAUUUUCAUCUUUUAGUCCUAUAACUUGUUGUAUUUGUUAGAAAUUUCAAACUUAAAUCUCUCUCUAUCACUAUGAACAGUUGCAAUUUCACCCCUUCCAAAAGAAAAUCAUCCUUGUCCGGUAACACACAAAUAAAUAAUUCACAAUAGUCAAUGACAAGCAAUACUCACGAAAUUUGCCAUUACCUACACAAUUUGAGAGCAGCAGAGACGAUAGAGAAGAGAGAAAGCAGACCCACGGUGAGAGACCAACGACGAGAGAUCCACGGCCAGAGACAAAUGCCAAGCAC
rnacentral:lncRNA from 1 species